AGUGAACGCUGGCGGUAGGCCUAACACAUGCAAGUCGAACGGCAGCACAGUAAGAGCUUGCUCUUACGGGUGGCGAGUGGCGGACGGGUGAGGAAUACAUCGGAAUCUACUUUUUCGUGGGGGAUAACGUAGGGAAACUUACGCUAAUACCGCAUACGACCUACGGGUGAAAGCAGGGGAUCUUCGGACCUUGCGCGAUUGAAUGAGCCGAUGUCGGAUUAGCUAGUUGGCGGGGUAAAGGCCCACCAAGGCGACGAUCCGUAGCUGGCCUGAGAGGAUGAUCAGCCACACUGGAACUGAGACACGGUCCAGACUCCUACGGGAGGCAGCAGCGGGGAAUAUUGGACAAUGGGCGCAAGCCUGAUCCAGCCAUACCGCGUGGGUGAAGAAGGCCUUCGGGUUGUAAAGCCCUUUUGUUGGGAAAGAAAAGCAGCAGGUUAAUACCCCGCUGUUCUGACGGUACCCAAAGAAUAAGCACCGGCUAACUUCGUG
rnacentral:rRNA from 1 species